rnacentral:rRNA from 1 species
AUACGGAGGAUUCGAGCGUUAUCCGGAUUUAUUGGGUUUAAAGGGAGCGUAGGCGGACUAUUAAGUCAGCUGUGAAAGUUUGCGGCUCAACCGUAAAAUUGCAGUUGAUACUGGUCGUCUUGAGUGCAGUAGAGGUAGGCGGAAUUCGUGGUGUAGCGGUGAAAUGCUUAGAUAUCACGAAGAACUCCGAUUGCGAAGGCAGCUUACUGGACUGUAACUGACGCUGAUGCUCGAAAGUGUGGGUAUCAAACAGGAUUAGAUACCCUGGUAGUCCACACAGUAAACGAUGAAUACUCGCCGUUUGCGAUAUACAGCAAGCGGCCAAGCGAAAGCAUUAAGUAUUCCACCUGGGGAGUACGCCGGCAACGGUGAAACUCAAAGGAAUUGACGGGG